UCAGAACGAACGCUGGCGGCGUGGAUAAGACAUGCAAGUCGAACGGGAGAAUUGCUAGCUUGCUAAUAAUUCUCUAGUGGCGCACGGGUGAGUAACACGUGAGUAACCUGCCUCUUAGUGGGGGAUAGCCCUGGGAAACCGGGAUUAAUACCGCAUACGAUUGAAAGAUCAAAGCAGCAAUGCGCUAGGAGAUGGGCUCGCGGCCUAUUAGUUAGUUGGUGAGGUAACGGCUCACCAAGGCGAUGACGGGUAGCCGGUCUGAGAGGAUGUCCGGCCACACUGGAACUGAGACACGGUCCAGACACCUACGGGUGGCAGCAGUCGAGAAUCAUUCACAAUGGGGGCAACCCUGAUGGUGCGACGCCGCGUGGGGGAAUGAAGGUCUUCGGAUUGUAAACCCCUGUCAUGUGGGAGCAAAUUAAAAAGAUAGUACCACAAGAGGAAGAGACGGCUAACUCUGUGCCAGCAGCCGCGGUAAUACAGAGGUCUCAAGCGUUGUUCGGAAUCACUGGGCGUAAAGCGUGCGUAGGCUGUUUCGUAAGUCGUGUGUGAAAGGCAGGGGCUCAACCCCUGGAUUGCACAUGAUACUGCGAGACUAGAGUAAUGGAGGGGGAACCGGAAUUCUCGGUGUAGCAGUGAAAUGCGUAGAUAUCGAGAGGAACACUCGUGGCGAAGGCGGGGUUCCUGGACAUUAACUGACGCUGAGGCACGAAGGCCAGGGGAGCGAAAGGGAUUAGAUACCCCUGUAGUCCUGGCAGUAAACGGUGCACGCUUGGUGUGCGGGGAAUCGACCCCCUGCGUGCCGGAGCUAACGCGUUAAGCGUGCCGCCUGGGGAGUACGGUCGCAAGAUUAAAACUCAAAGAAAUUGACGGGGACCCGCACAAGCGGUGGAGUAUGUGGCUUAAUUCGAUGCAACGCGAAGAACCUUACCUGGGCUUGACAUGUAAUGAACAACAUGUGAAAGCAUGCGACUCUUCGGAGGCGUUACACAGGUGCUGCAUGGCCGUCGUCAGCUCGUGUCGUGAGAUGUUCGGUUAAGUCCAGCAACGAGCGCAACCCCUGUUGCCAGUUACCAUCGAGUAAUGUCGGGGACUCUGGCGAGACUGCCCAGAUCAACUGGGAGGAAGGUGGGGACGACGUCAGGUCAGUAUGGCCCUUAUGCCCAGGGCUGCACACGUACUACAAUGCCCAGUACAGAGGGGGCCGAAGCCGCGAGGCGGAGGAAAUCCUGAAAACUGGGCCCAGUUCGGACUGUAGGCUGCAACCCGCCUACACGAAGCCGGAAUCGCUAGUAAUGGCGCAUCAGCUACGGCGCCGUGAAUACGUUCCCGGGUCUUGUACACACCGCCCGUCACAUCAUGGAAGCCGGUCGCACCCGAAGUAUCUGAAGCCAACCGCAAGGAGGCAGGGUCCUAAGGUGAGACUGG
rnacentral:rRNA from 1 species